CUCUCCUUGUCUGCAUCUCUCGCUUCUUUUGAGCAAGGGACUUAACGAGAGAGGCUGACAUUUCAGAGACACAGCGUCUCUGAGUUUAGAAAGCUGGGAGUGGGUGGUUUUCAGAAGGCACCUGUAAACACCAUGCAGAUCCGCUGUGGGAAAUGCGUGAGAGUCCCAAGAUGGCAUGAAGAGAAACAAAGCAAUAUUCUCUUCCCACCAAGUGCAGAAAAAAAAAAAUGUGCGACUCCAGGGCGGCAAGGAAUGUUUCAUUCAUUCACCCAUUCAUUCAAGGAAGGCUUCUUGAGCUGGGAGUCUCAUUUGUUUGCUCAUCCAUGCGUUUGUUUGUUAUCAGCACUGAGCACUAGGAUGUUGAAGAAGGCAAAUGGGUGCGUGAUUACACACCGAGGAAUGGGAAGUCCACAGCAAAGCCUCGUGUUUCCAUCACACCACAAUCUCGGAAAAUCACGGCAUCUGGAAAGUGUUCCACAGGUUCUGAUCUCCGGAGGAGGCACCAGGGUGUUUGGAGACAGAAUAGUCUGGAUUUAAACCUCAGCCCUGCUUCUUUGAAGGCAAUACCAUUUUCUUCUCUAAGAUGAGUCUGUCCUUUUGUAAAGUGGAGGUAACAGAGCUCCCGGUUCCUGGUUUCGCAUCGGCCGACACUUUACCUACACUGAGGAACUUUCCCCAGCAGUGCAUCGUAAUUGUUUCUGAUGAUGCUUCUAGAGGAAAGUGAUAGAAACCCAGUUCAAAUGGGCUUAAGGAAAACAAAAAGCGGAAUGUCCGUGGCAGUCUGUACAGCUUCAGGCAAAGCUCCUUUCUAAGGUCAGAAAAGCUCAGUCAGAGAUUUCCAGAUGAACCAUCAGUCAGUGACUCCCCAGGAAGUGACAUCCCAGACACUGAUGAAGUGCCACCAAAGCAAAGAGACCAGGACUGCUUUGGUCAGUAUGAUUUGAACCUUAGGGAACUACUUAGAAGAAACUUUGCUUAUGUAAAUCCUUCCCUGGUCAGCUCACAUACAGUUCCCAUCAAGUCAAAUUUCAUGAUACUAUCAGCACAGAAUUACCCUGAACACAGUAUCAUUUAACAGCACUGCUUCCUUCUAACAAGGUAAAAAACCAAGAGCCUAGCCUCUUGGAAUGUGACUUAAGCAAUGCAGCUUUGACAAGUUCAGCCCUACUUGCAGACUUUCAUGACUGGACUCCUUGUAACCAAUGGCAUUUCGAUGGUCCCUAUGGUGGUUAAAUAAGAAUGUCCCCCAUAUACUCAGAUGUUUGAGUACUUGGCCCCCAGUUAGUGGUGCUGUUUGGGGAGGUUCAGAAGGUGUGGUCUUGCUGGAGGAAGUAUGUCUGUGGGUGCUGGCUUUGAAGUUUCUUUCUUUCUUUUUUUUUUCUUUUUUUGGUUUUUUUGAGACAGGGUUUCUCUGUGUAGCUUUGGAGCCUGUCCUGGAACUCACUCUGUCGCCCAGGCUGUCCUCGAACUCACAGAGAUCCACCUGCCUCUGCCUCCCAAGUGCUAGGAUUAAAGGCAUGCGCCACCACCGCCCGGCUGGCUUUGAGGUUUCUAAGGCAUGCAUCAUUCCUAGUUUGCCCCGGGCUUGCUGCUCCAGCCACGGUCCCUCCCUGCUGUAAUGAGCUCUGAUCCUACUGAACUAAUAAGCCAAAAUAAACCCUUCUAUAAAUUGCCUUGGUCACGGUGUUUCUUAUUACAGGAAUAGAAAACAACGAAUACAGCUCCUCUCGGUCUAUAGAAUAGCAUAUACUUUAUUCUGGAAAGUCUAUCAUGCACUGGACUUAAUUGCUGUGGGGAGAACCUCAGUUUGUAUAGAAAGAAAUACAUAAGGCUUGUUGUUGUGUAUCAUAACUGAGCAUGAUUUGUAAACCUUUUUAUGUUCAUUAAAAAUAGAGGAAAAUGCA